rnacentral:lncRNA from 10 species
AUUCAUCGAUGCGUUUUGGCAGCAAAAUAGGCUUCUGGUGACAGGGAACUCAUCACCUCACAAGGCAGCCCUGUUCCUCUGUCUCAGGAGUCUCACCAUUAGGAAUUCUACCUUAGCACGGCGUAAGGCUCUGGACGGGAUGGCAGGGAGGCACUAGGCUGGUGCUCUGAGGAGGUGGCAUCUGGGCAGAGAUCUGAGUGAAAUGAGACGGAAAGCCAUGUGAGGAUGUGGAUGGAGGGCGUCGCUGGAGGGCAGGGUGCAGAGUCCCUGAGGGGACAGGAGCCUGGCAGCCUGGGAAUCAAGGUGCCCAGACCAGUUUAAGAACCCCCUGAUCCUGCUGCUGCUGGGCUCUGCCCUGGUGAGUGUCCUCACCAAGGAGUAUGAGGACGCCGUCAGCAUCGCCACGGCAGUGCUUGUCGUGGUCACUGUCGCCUUCAUCCAGGAGUACAGGUCGGAGAAAUCUCUGGAAGAGCUGACCAAGCUGGUUCCUCCAGAAUGUAACUGCCUAAGAGAAGGAAAACUCCAGCACCUGCUUGCUCGAGAACUGG